GUGGGGAAUUUUGCACAAUGGGCGAAAGCCUGAUGCAGCGACGCCGCGUGGAGGAUGAAGGCCUUCGGGUUGUAAACUCCUUUUGUAGGGGACAAUAAUGAUGGUACCCUGCGAAUAAGCCACGGCUAACUCUGUGCCAGCAGCCGCGGUAAGACAGAGGUGGCAAGCGUUGUUCGGAAUUACUGGGCUUAAAGGGCGCGUAGGCGGUAAGAUAAGUCUGUGGUGAAAUCCUAUGGCUUAACCAUAGAAUUGCCAUGGAAACUGUUUUACUUGAGUCAGCGAGGGGAUGGUGGAAUUCCUGGUGUAGCAGUGAAAUGCGUAGAUAUCCGGAGGAAGGCCGGUGGCGAAGGCGGCCAUCUGGCGCUGAACUGACGCUGAGGCGCGAAAGCGUGGGUAGCAAACAGGAUUAGAUACCCCAGUAGUCC
rnacentral:rRNA from 1 species